UUUCUUUGAAACAAACUUGCUUUGGCGGUGGGCCCAGCCUGCCGCCAGAGGUCUAAACUUACAACCAAUUUUUUAUCAACUUGUCACACCAGAUUAUUACUAAUAGUCAAAACUUUCAACAACGGAUCUCUUGGUUCUCGCAUCGAUGAAGAACGCAGCGAAAUGCGAUACGUAAUAUGAAUUGCAGAUAUUCGUGAAUCAUCGAAUCUUUGAACGCACAUUGCGCCCUCUGGUAUUCCGGAGGGCAUGCCUGUUUGAGCGUCGUUUCUCCCUCAAACCGCUGGGUUUGGUGUUGAGCAAUACGACUUGGGUUUGCUUGAAAGACGGUAGUGGUAAGGCGGGAUCGCUUUGACAAUGGCUUAGGUCUAACCAAAAACAUUGCUUGCGGCGGUAACGUCCACCACGUAUAUCUUCAAACUUUGACCUCAAAUCAGGUAGGACUACCCGCUGAACUUAAGCAUAUCAAUAAGCGGAGGA
rnacentral:rRNA from 1 species